AUUGAACGCUGGCGGCAGGCCUAACACAUGCAAGUCGAACGGUAACAGGGAUCAGCUUGCUGAUUCGCUGACGAGUGGCGGACGGGUGAGUAAUGUCUGGGAAACUGCCUGAUGGAGGGGGAUAACUACUGGAAACGGUAGCUAAUACCGCAUAACGUCGCAAGACCAAAGAGGGGGACCUUCGGGCCUCUUGCCAUCGGAUGUGCCCAGAUGGGAUUAGCUAGUAGGUGGGGUAACGGCUCACCUAGGCGACGAUCCCUAGCUGGUCUGAGAGGACGACCAGCCACACUGGAACUGAGACACGGUCCAGACUCCUACGGGAGGCAGCAGUGGGGAAUAUUGCACAAUGGGCGCAAGCCUGAUGCAGCCAUGCCGCGUGUAUGAAGAAGGCCUUCGGGUUGUAAUGUACUUUCAGCGGGGAGGAAGGGAGUAAAGUUAAUACCUUUGCUCAUUGACGUUACCCGCAGAAGAAGCACCGGCUAACUCCGUG
rnacentral:rRNA from 1 species